GAUGAACGCUGGCGGCGUGCCUAAUACAUGCAAGUCGAGCGAACAGAUGAGGAGCUUGCUCCUCUGACGUUAGCGGCGGACGGGUGAGUAACACGUGGAUAACCUACCUAUAAGACUGGGAUAACUUCGGGAAACCGGAGCUAAUACCGGAUAAUAUAUUGAACCGCAUGGUUCAAUAGUUAAAGACGGUUUUGCUGUCACUUAUAGAUGGAUCCGCGCCGCAUUAGCUAGUUGGUAAGGUAACGGCUUACCAAGGCAACGAUGCGUAGCCGACCUGAGAGGGUGAUCGGCCACACUGGAACUGAGACACGGUCCAGACUCCUACGGGAGGCAGCAGUAGGGAAUCUUCCGCAAUGGGCGAAAGCCUGACGGAGCAACGCCGCGUGAGUGAUGAAGGUCUUCGGAUCGUAAAACUCUGUUAUUAGGGAAGAACAAAUGUGUAAGUAACUAUGCACGUCUUGACGGUACCUAAUCAGAAAGCCACGGCUAACUACGU
rnacentral:rRNA from 1 species